ensembl:lncRNA
AUUGCUACUUUAUUCCGGUCACCAAUUGAUGCAUUUCACGGUCUUGCUGUGCGUGCAAUACAUUGUAAAGUUGUGUUGUUUGUUUUCGAGCUGGUUUGCUAAAGAGGCUAAUGUGGCUAACAAUAAACAACGACUAGCUAAUUUCAUGACACAAUCACAAAGACGAACGGGAAUGCUAUUAGUGCUCCGAGAAUGGAAAUUACGUCACAAGUGCAACUCGGAAGGCCGGUGUCUGAGGCAUCUGGACCACAGCAUUGCACACCACUCUAACGUAAUAACUGAUGUCAUUGUGAGACCCCCAGAGGAGGGCGCAGCCCGGGCCCCACAUCCUCUCCAGCCGGAUCAGGAAACUCCCGGGGUAUCCGAAGCCCCGCCCCCGACGGGACGACCUGACAUCCUGCUGUCAGUUGGACAGCAGACCAUCUGAGGAAGCGCUUCAUAUGUAGUUCGGCUCCGCACCGCCGGGAGGAUUAGGCGCUGGACGGCGAGCCGUACUCAGCCCGCCUCCCGGGGGCGUAGCGGGCCGCUAUUGGAGCGCUCCGCAGGCUGCGGUUGGCUGUG